CUUCAUUCGGCCAUUUUCACACGCGGCGCUGUUAGUCUGUUUGCGCUGUUCGUGGAAGUUGCAGAGGAUGUACUCAUCGCAUUUCAACGAUGAUAUAAUAUGUACAGCAAAAAUUUAUGGCAAGGGUGACAUGAAUCAGAUUGACAAGAAUCCAUAUUCCUACUCCUCAAUAAUGCUAUCAUCACUGCCAUCAGAUUCAUCAAUGAUAGUGGCAUCAGUGACACAUGCGGAUAAGUGUUGGACAUCACUGCAGGAAUAGCUUCCUUGUUGUGCCUGCCAAUAGCAAGGAGAAACAAUCCUGCACAUCAUUUGUGGAAACGGAAGAGUUAGAGGCAGAACAGGAGGAACAAUCAUGAACAUCAUUAGUUGAAAUGGAAGAGUUAGAGGCAGAACAGUCAUUUCACCCAAGGAGGCAUGCAUAUGGAUUUAGGCUGUGAAAAAGAACCCCAAACAAAAUGGCGGCUGGUGAAUUAGGUAAAGUUUUUGAGUGUAGGAUCUGAACGGAGAAUAGGAAUACUGCAUCCCAUCUGACCCUGCAGGAAGAAAGACCUCUGGCAAAGACAAGAACAAAGGAGGGAGAACAUUUUUGGAAAUUUAUGAAAUCUUCAGUGUGUUUGGACACAGGAGCUAUGAUAUCCAUCCAUUCUGGUUGCCUCAGGAUCGAUUCUUGUGAAUAUAGAAAAUUGGAAAUUCAAAUGUUGGUUAUUUUACACUUUAAAAGUGCUUACUGCUUAGUCCAAUAUCUUGAUAAAUCUAGUCUUUUGUGAUUUUUCAGGCAAAUUAAAUCUCCAACAAAUGUAUACAUUUUUGAUAAAUUACCCCAAGGACCCUAUAUUUUUUCAAAAGCAAUAUAUAUCUGAAGUAAAUAAAACCAUUUUUGUUGGGUCACACAAUGAAUAGAAAUGAUAGAUGUAGUGCUUAUAUCAUGGAAUUUCUGUAAACAGAUGAUAUUUUUUACACAGGUUUUAGCUCACCUGAGCCAAAAGCUCAAGUAAGCUUUUCUGAUCAAAAUUUGUCCGUUGUCUGUCGUUGUCGUAAACUUUUCACGUUUUCGACUUCUUCUCAAGAACCACUGGCCAAUUUCAACCAAAUUUGUCACAAAGCAUCCUUGGGUGAAGGACUUUCAAGUUUGUUCAAAUUAAGGGCCGUGUCCCGUUCAAAGGGAAGAUAAUCACAAAAAUGCAAAAAUAGGGUGGGGUCAUUUAAAAAUCUUCUUGUCAAGAACCACUGGACCAGAAAAGCUGAAAUUUACAUGAAAGCUUCCUGAUAUAGUGCAGAUUCAAGUUUGUUCAAAUCAUGGCCCCCGGGGAUUGGAUGGGACCACAAUAGGGGAUUAAAGUUUUACAUACUGAUAUAUAGGAUAAAUCUUUAAAAUUCUUCUUCUCAAGAACUACUGAGCCAGAAAAGCUGAGAUUUACAUGAAAGCUAUCUGACAUAAUGCAAAUUCAAGAUUGUUCAAAUCAUGGCCCCUGGGGUAUGAUGGGGGUCGCAAUUGGGAAUCAAAGUUUUACCUGCAAAUAUAUAGGAAAAAUGUUUAAAAUUGUUCUUCUCAAGAACCACUGGGCCAGAAAAGCUUAGAUUUACAUGAAAGCUUCCUGACAUAAUGCAGAUUCAAGUUUGUUUAAAUCAUGGCCCCUGGGGGUAUGAUGGGGCCACAUUAGGGGAUCAAAGUUUUACAUACGAAUAUAUAAGGAAACUCUUCUUCUCAAGAACCACUGAGCCAGAAAAGCUGAUAUUUACAUGAAAGAUCUCUGACAUAUAUUUCAGAUUUCAGUUUGUUAAAAUCAUGGCCCCCAGGGUAGGAUGGGGUCAAAAGGGAGGAUCAAAGUUUUACUUACAAUUAUAUAGGGAAAAUAUUUAAAUAUGAGCUAAGGUGACUCAGGUGAGUGAUGUGGCCGUUGGGCCUCUUCUUUAAAGCCUUUCAUAAUUACCAAAUUUAAAAAUUGGUCUGAAACUGGAAGGUACAAACGAAUCCAUUACCAUUUUGAAUAUUCAAAACCUAGUAUGUUCUGUUGACAUGUUUUGUUUAGAAUUUUGUUCAGAGAAAUGUAGUUCAAAUGAUCACAAAAUAUACACUGUCAUUGGUUUUGGUAUACAUAUAAAAGGUAAAUCCUGGUUUACCAUGUUCAUAAUAUAUGCCAUGCAAAAGAACUAAGUGCUCUGUUGUUGAAACUGUAUUGUUAUAGGAUUUUCGUUUAGUGUUUAUGACUAUCUCAUGUGAGCAUUACUGCCUAUGAUAUUUUCUCUUUAAAUAUAAUUGUUUUGAAAAUAUGUUGAUAAAUGACCACUACAGUUUGAUUCAUAUGUAUAUUAUCUGAGUUCAGAAUGUUCUCUUGUGUUUUGUCUUAUUGAGAUGAUAUAUUGUGCUCUUUGACUUAAUGAUGCUGCUUUAAGGCAUAAUUGUUGGACCUAUAGUGUAUUCAUUUUCAAAUGUAUUGAAAUAUAAUUUUUGAUAAUAAUGAGGCAAUGCUAUACUUGUUAGGGUAGUAAUGCACCAGUAAUUCAAAUGUACAUUGAUGUCUUACCUGAAUGUUUUUAUAUGGUUACAAUUUUGGUUUUUGAUAAGAAUUUUAGGUCAUAUAGGUAAUCUCUGGUGACCUGUCUUCUGAGUAAAUUCAGGUAACAAUUGAACAUUUUGUAAGAAAAACGUAUGCAUAGUCAGGUAGAGGAGGAAGGCCUUUACUAAAAAUGUAGAUGUCGUAAUCCAUGGGGUAGGGUUUCUGACUCUAGGGUAAGACCAAACUUGGUAUACAUAGUGCAUAUGUGUUAAGGGCAUAGGAUCUAUCUUUUAUCUAAAAAAUGACAUCACAAUAUUUUGCAAGAAGAACUCCAAAAAACAAAUUUGUAGUAUUAAUUAUGAGUUAUCUAUAGCUGCAGCGCUUUGAAAUUUAAGUCAUUUUGACGUUUUAGCCCUAUUUAAAAAUUUUGUCAGGAGGACAAUAUAUUAAACUGGUACCCUGCUGAUUGAUGGCUACACACAAACAUAAGAGAUGCGAAAUCAACAGGGUACCAAUUUAGGCAAAUGAGAACAGGGAAUUAUUUUGUAAUUACUAUCGUUAUCCAAUGUGUUUGUAAACAUUCUGAAGAACUUUGUGUGAUUUUCUAGUUAAUAUGAUCUUAAAUUUCGCCACCUUUUUGGAACAUGCAACAUUUCACCAAUAUCUUAGACCCUAUGCCUUUAAGAUAAUUCCACCCCUGUAGAGUUAUAGGUUCAAUCUUAUAUUUGAUUAAUGAUUAUCUUAGUAACAAAUAAAAAUGAUAAGAUAAGUAUGUUGCAGCAUUGAUAAAAAGAUUUAUCAAUUAGCACGCAUAUACCUGUUAUUGAUGUCAGAAAUUUACAAUUGUCAUUAAAUACAUUUCAUUAUCACAAAAACUUGUUAAAACGAUAUAAUGGUAUUCAUAACAAUUUCAUGAAACUGUUUCUUAAAAAAAAUAUACAAUAUGUUUGUGAAAAGUAAAAGAUAUCUAUGCAUAAAAAAUUGAUAAAUAAUUUAAUGAAAAAGGAGUUAUUACUCUUGGAUUCGGUAUUUCGAAACUCAUACGUGACUUUUGAAAUAUAUUAUGGUUAACAAGAUAUUUUACAAUAACUAUUAAAAAAGACUUCAACAAAAUUUAUGUUCCCAUCAUGCAUAAAUCUUAUCAAAUCAUUGACUUUGCGAAAUCUUAUGACAUCACAGGAGAGUGGAACUACGUUACACAAUUAUAAAAUAUCUUUUUAGCUCACCUGAGCUGAAAGAUCAAGUGAGCUUUUCUGAUCGCUGUUUGUCCGUCGUCUGUCUGUCUGUCUGUCUGUUAAACAUUUACAUUUUCAACUUCUUCUCCAAAACCACUGGGCCAAUUUUAACCAAUGUUGGCACAAAUCAUCCUUGGGUGAAGGGGAAUCAAAAUUGUUCAAAUGAGGGCCAACCCCCUUAUCCAAGGGGAGAUAAUAGCAAAUCAGUAAAAACACACUGAAAUUUUUUAAAAAUCUUCUUCUCCAGAACCAGUAAGCCAAUUUCAUUCAAACUUAAUGCAAAUCAUCCUUAGUUGAAGGGAAUUCAAAAUUGUUCAAAUUAAGGGCCAGGUUUUCUUCAAAGGGGAGAGAAUCACAAAAGUGUAAAAAUAGGGUGGGGUCAUUUAAAAAUCUUCUUCUCAUGAACCACUGUGCCAGUAUAGUUCAAAUUUACAUGGAAGCUUCCUGACAUAAUGCAGAUUCAAAUUGUUCAUAUCAUGGCCCCCAGGGGUCGGGUGGGGCCACAAUAGGGGAACCAUAUUUUAUAUGUGUUUAUAUAGGAAAAAUCUUUUAAAAUCUUCUUAAGAACCAUUGAGCCAGAAGAGUUCAACUUUACAUGGAAGCUUCCUGACAUAAUGCAGAUUCAAAUUUGUUCAUAUCAUGGCCGCUGGGGGUCGGGUGGGGCCACACUAGGGGAAACCACAUUUUAUAUGUAUUUAUAUAGGAAAAAUCUUCUUCUCAAGAACCAUUGAGCCAGAAGAGUUCAAAUUUACAUCGAAGUUUCCUGACAUAGUUCAGAUUCAAGUUUGAAGCUUUAUGACAUAGUUCAAAUUAAAGUUUGUUGAAAUCAUGGCCCCGGGGUGUCAGGUUUUGCCACAAUAAGGGAAACUGUAUUUCCUAUGUGUAAAUAUAUGAUAACUCAGGUGAGCGAUGUGGCCCAUGGGCCUCUUGUUUAAAGGUUGAUAUUAACAUGAAACUAAAUUAAUAUGUGGUAGUCCUUAAUAAAAAUUGUAAAAUACAUGAUUUCCUGGACAAGGGUUUAGUUUCCAGGAUAAGGCCAAGAUUAUAGUAGCAACUAUUGUGAUAUGGUAAAUAACUAAAUGCAUGCUUAUUAGAAGCAGAACAGGAUAUACCAAAGUGGUGAUUUACACAACCCCAGGGUUUUAACUGUACACAGGUCCAAAGUAGUCAUAUUAUUUAAUGUUGUAUAUAUAACGUCUCCUUAUUGGUGAAAUAUUCUCGAGAGGGACGUUAAACAAUACACAAUCAAUCAUCUGGACUGUAUAGGCACUUUCGGGGCAUUUAAGUUUUAUGAACACAUCUUGUUUUAUUCUGUUUUGUAUGUUAGGAUUUAAUUUAGGUAUGCAGAACAGGAAUUUUUCUCAAGAUUUCAUAAUCCUUGGGGCUAGUGAUACCUUUAAUUAAUUCUCAUGUACCCAAUAAGGCCUGUGGGCCUUUUAUUUCAUGAAAUGCAUUAAAUUCUGAUUGUUAUGUCUUUUGUAAUUUUUCAUGAAAUGGAUGAAAAUCCUGUAUGUUUUAUUAAUAUUUGACCAGCAACCAUACUUGAAAAUGAUUUGUAUGACAUGCCAGUUUUUGUUACAAAGUAACAAUUAUAUAAUGAAUAAAUUUCAUGUUAAAGUUAACUUUUAAAUUGUCUUUUAUGUACUGUUUUGAAAGUAAUUAUUUUGUAUGACAGUAUUCGUGUACAGUGCAGAUGGUGGUUAUUUAAAUGAAUGCGAAUAACAUGAUCAAAGUUAAUUAAUAUUGCUAUGGAUAAUUUGUUGGACUCUGUAAAGAUUAUAAAUUAGUCAAAAUUGCUGCAGAAAAGCUGGUUGAAUAGAUAAAGAGAUUUAUCAGAGGCAAAUGUUCUACAACUUUUUGUGGAAAUUGAAUGGAUAUGCAUUGUCAGGUAUAAUUUCAGUGAUAGCAAACUUGAAUAAUUAAAUCGUAUUCCAAGAUAGGUUGUCCCAAAAAACAGUAGCCACACAAAGGUUAUAGAUGUUUGGAAAAUUGACUGGUAUUUCAUCUGUGCUGGAAAUCAAUCGCAUGCAGUUUUUAUACGCCCGUCUUAAGACGGGCCGUAUUAUGUUAUGGCCUUCAUGUCCGUCCGUCUGUCCGUCCGUCCGUCCGUCCGUCUGUUAGCUUUUUCGUGUCCGGCUCAUAACUUAGAUACUAUAAGGCCUAGAAUAAUCAAACUUUGUCAGUUGAUACAUCUUGGGUAGAAGGUGUGUCGCACAUUAAAACCAGGUCGCUGUGACUUUUAAUUAAGAAGAUAUGGCCAAAUAUGGUAAAACCCUGUCCCGCUCAUAACUUGAAAACUAUUUGAUCUAGAAUCAUGAAACUUGGUCAACUUAUGCAUCUUAGGUAGAAGGUGUGUCGCACUGUACUUUAAGGUCACUGUGACAUUUAGUUGAAGUGAUUUUUUGAAAAAAGUAUGUUAUAAUUGGUACAAUCCCUACUCAUAUAAGAGUUUUGUAGAAAACCUCAUUCAAAAAUGUUACAUCAAGAAAACACAUAUUUUUUUUAUGAUAUACUGUACAACUUUUUUUAGCUUAUGUAAUGUUUACUUUGUUUCUAACAAUAACAUGAGAAAUUCCACUUGUCCCAUGGGAGUAGCAUGCAAAGGGCAUUUUGACAAGACUAAUUAAUGAGUUUUGUGUAGAGCAUCUCUGAUCAACAUGAUCAAGCAGGUGUUAUCUUUAUCUCUAGGGAAUUGGGCAGAGAGAUCUUAGCCUCUUAAUUGCAGAUAUACCAGAAAUUAUUUGUGAAAGUGAAUUUGUUUGUUGUGGUUAGUCUUUAUUUUCAAAAUUAAUUUGACAUUGUACUAUAUAAUUUUUAAUUUUUUUUCUCGGCAACCUAUAUGCAGAGUAUCAUUUCUCACUAAGACAACAAAUGGUUGCAAUAUGUAUAAAGGCCUAUUUUAAUGAU